UGGCAGCGGCCUGGUCAGCAACUCGAGUUACCACUGCAGUUAUAUUUGGAAGUCAAUGCAGGCAUGUUUGUAACUGGAAAAGUGGACAUUGGAAAGCUUACGCUGGAUGUGGGAUGAGUUUCUUUGCGACUUCUAAGGCAGCAUCACAGUUGCCCGCUGCUGCCGUAAUGAAGGGGUAUACACUUGGCGGUCCUUUACUGAUUUACUAAUCGACUCUCAUCUCUGCCAUUUUUCUGAGCGGUAGACGUCUUACGACUGACAAGUGAAAUGUUCGCACCUCUUUUUAAAACAGAACGUCACUGCAGCCCCCCAGCUCAGUGAGACUCCCUCAUCCUGACAGCUGUCCAGUGCGGCACAUUAAACUGGUGGAGCGUAUUAUUCAGCCAUAGCGUACUGCACACAUUUUCAGGAGACUGGUGUUUGUGGGUCCUGCUUACUUAGCUGCCCCUCAUCAUUAGGUCCCAGUGGUCUUCUCUUAUUUUUUGGGCCUGAGUGGAAUAAAGUUGUGGAGUAAAACACUGUCUGGGAAUGGGUGACCUUGGGCUGAGUGGGCACCUUAGGAAAACUCAAGUGGGGGGGGUGUGUGUGUGUGUGUGGGGGGGUAUCUGUAGCCUGUGAUUUGGAGUUCAGUGCUGUGUUCACAUACCGUGUGUUAUGCCCUUUGACAUUAAAGCAGUUAAAAUGAUGUUUGGUUAUCAAAUAAACAGGAGGUGACCACCACUGAGAGGAGCGGGUGAGACCUGAGGGUUUCUUUCUCAAAUCCCAUGUGUCCUUACUCUCCAUUUCUUCCUGUAUUGUGUAUUUAAAUGUCUACAUUAAUGCACCACAGCAAGGAGCAGACAAGAAGGGCAUCAAAAGGACUUGCGAUUUGCUGUUACUUCUUGAUGACUUUUACCUUUCAGCGUGGGAUACGCAGGGUGCUUCUGAGCUUAGCACCAGACUGUCAUGUUCCAUUUUAGCAGUCUAUACUAUACUUCAAUUUUUGAGGUGAUUGUUAAGUAUAUAUAAAUAUAUAUAUAUAUACACACACAAUAUAUAUAUAUUGAUUUUCCUUAUAAAAGUUGGCCUUAAUUUAUUUCUUUUUCAUUUUAAAUGAACAAUGUUUUCAGCAUGACCUGAUCAUGGCGUAUGAAGUAUCAUGACUCAUGCCGACUAAUCCGCUGUCGUAGAGGUUGCUUUCACGUAGACCAACAGAAGCUCGAUAUUUUCUAACGCGCACCCGUAAGGCUCGACUCGCAGUACGUGGAUCUGUUUACACGCAGCUGGACCGACUGUGCAUUGUAGUGAGUACCUGAAAAUGACUGUUUGAGAGCGAGGUGUAUAUUUAGCAACUGCUAGACUACACAUUUAGCCACUGGUUUGUGAAGGGGUGCAAUAGAAAACCUUGGGAGGAGUAUUGUACUGUAAUAAAGUUGUUUUUUGUAAAACACUUCAGUUGGUGAUGGCUGUCAGUAUGGCAACUCUAGUGUCAAUAAUGCACUUCUGAAUGUAAUUUAUCUUAACUUUGUUUGUCAUAAUGUCUAAAAAAUUCUAUGUAAAGCAACAGCAGUGUUUAUUUAUUUGCUAGCUUUUUUGUGAUGUUACAAUUACUAAGCGACAUUCCUUUAACAGAGCAAGAACAUUUGUAACAUUAUUUACAACAAUAAAUUACUUGCAGAAGGA